UGUGCCAGGAAAUUUUGAAAGUACUUUGCAACAGUAAUUCAUUUAAAAAUCAGAACACACUUCCGGCAGUGGUGGCUUGUGCUGCCGAGGGAAGAUGGGUCAAAGUCAGAGUGGUGGUCAUGGUCCUGGAGGUGGCAAGAAGGAUGACAAGGACAAGAAGAAGAAAUAUGAACCUCCCAUACCAAUUAGAGUGGGGAAAAAGAAGAAGAAAACAAAGGGACCAGAUGCUGCCAGCAAACUGCCACUGGUGACACCUCACACUCAGUGCCAGUUAAAAUUAUUGAAGUUAGAAAGAAUUAAAGACUGUCUUCUCAUGGAGGAAGAAUUCAUUAGAAAUCAGGAACAAAUGAAGCCUUUAAAAGAAAAGCAAGAGGAGGAAAGAUCAAAGGUGGAUGACCUGAGGGGAACCCCAGAGUCAGUGGGGACCUUGGAAGAGAUCAUUGAUGACAACCAUGCCAUCGUGUCUACAUCUGUGGGCUCAGAACACUAUGUCAGCAUUCUUUCCUUUGUGGACAAGGACUUGGUGGAAUCAGGCUGCUCCAUCCUGCUCAAUCACAGGUGCGUGCUGUAAUAGGGGUACUGAUGGAUGACACGGAUCCCUUGGUCAUGGUGAUGAAGGUGGUAAAGGCCCUGCAGGAGACCUCUGCCAACAUUGGGGGGUUGGACAACCAAAUCCAGGAAAUUAAGCAAUCUGUGGAACUUCCUCUCACUCAUCCUGAGUAUUAUGAAGAGAUGGGUAUAAAGCCCCGUAAGGGGGUCAUUCUCUAUGGGCCACCUGACACAGGUAAAACCUUACUGGCUAAAGCAGUAGCAAACCAAACCUCAGCCACUUUCUUGAAAGUGGUUGGCUCUGAACUUACUCAGAAGUACCUAGGUGACAGGCAUAAGCUCGUUUGGGAAUUGUUUUGAGUUGCUGAAGAACAUGCACCAUCCAACGUGUUUAUUGAUGAAAUUGAAGGCAUUGGGAAAAAAAGAUAAGACUCAAACUCCGGUGGUGAGAGAGAAAUUCAGCAAAUAAUGUUGGAACUGUUGAACCAGUUGCAUGGAUUUGAGUCAAGGGGAGGUGUAAAAGUUAUCAUGGCCACAAACUGAAUAGGAACUCUGGAUCCAGCACUAAUCAGACCAGGCUGCAUCGACGGAAGAUUGAGUUCCCCCUGCCUGAUGAAAAGACCAAGAAGUGCAUCUUUCAGAUCCACACAGGCAGAAUGACGCUGGCUGAUGACGUGACACUGGACAACUUGGUCAUGGCUAAGGAUGACCCCUCUGGUGCUGACAUCAAGGCAAUCUGUACAGAAGCUGGUCUCAUGGCUUUGAGAGAAUGUAGAAUGAAAGUCACAAAUGAAGACUUCAAAAAAUCGAAAGAAAAUGUUCUGUAUAAAAAAGAAGGUACCCCUAAGGGGCUCUAUCUCUAGGGAACCUCAGUUGCCUUCAAGGAAGUGGUCAGGUCAGGGGUGCCGACCCUGGGGGAGAGGUGGUGAAGUUGCCCAGAGGAGCCCAUUCAGCUGCUCUUCAUUAGCAGCACAUUCUGUGCCCUGUGCACCUCUCUGAGCACCACGUGUAGGAGCCCAAUGUGCAGCGCUCCAUUCCCAAUAAAGUGAGCUCUUUCUCAAAAA